rnacentral:tRNA from 1 species
GCCGCUAUAGCUCAACUGGACAGAGUAAUUGACUACGAAUCAAUUGGUUGGGGGUUCGAAUCCCUCUAGUGGUAC